UUCUCCAGCUGUGAUGUCUGUAACCCAGAAGCUAGAACCUUAAUGAGGUAUUAACUAAUUGGCUUACUAAUAUGAUCCAUCCUCAAUUUAGAUAAAAUAUAAAAUAUAAAUUAAGGAAAUUAACAAUACUAAUUAAUAGAUAUCUAAUUAACUAAUAGAUAAUUUCAUAAUGAAUUAUUGGAAGGGUGAAUUACUAAAAUAACGAGUUUAAUAUUAAACAUCGGUUAAAACAAGAAUCUUGAACAUCACUAACAGAAACAGAAUAGGAAAGCUGUAUACUAUUGGUCCAGGUGGGAAUCUGAAAUUUCAUUGGCUGAGAGAAAUAAGUCCCGCCUCCGCGAAAUAAAACCGUGCGACGCAGCUGAGCGAGAGGAGAGACAAACGGCUGUGCAGCACGCAGAUACAGAAAGCAAAGACUGAGCGGUUAGAGAGAGAGAGAGAGAGAAAAAAAAAACAACGGUCGAGGCCGUGAAGAACCCUGAUUUGGGUGCCGCAUAGAUAGAGGGAGAGGCGGACUUGACUCCUUCUAAUAAGAGCUAGGAACUUGGAACCAACGCGGUGAGUAAAGAAAAAAGAAGAGAAAAAGCUAACGAUGCAACUUAAAAAAAAAAAGGAAACUUAAAUAGCUUAUCAAAUUAAUUCCAUUCUUAUAGAUUUGUGUGGAGACGACAGAGUGAACCAAUCCUCUGUAGGAGGGAACCGUUGGAGCGCGUUGGUGAGUGAAUGAGAUUAAAUUCAGUAAAUUAUUAAAUUCAAAAAGCUAAUUACAGCAACCGAGGUGACAGCAGUGGGCUGCUAGACGUUAGAUCCCAGGAGUUAACAUCUCAAACUACCAGUUAACGGUGGUAGGGCAUAUAGGAGUUAACGGCUCAAACCGCCAGUUAACGGCGGUAGGGCAUAUGGGAUUCCCAGGAGUUAACGGCUCAAACCGCCAGUUAAUGGUGGUACGGCCUAGAUGUACAAGGUCCUCAGGGGCGUUAUAGCUAACGCCAUAGAAUUAGCAAUGCGUCCCUUAACCAAACAUUUAAUAAUAAAAAAAAUAGAUAAAUAAAAAUAAAUAAAAGCUAACUGAUUAGGGAGGAAUUAUUUUACAAAGGUGGACCAAAGGACCAGAAUUUAUAUUUUGUUGAAUUUUGUUAUAGAACAUUUUAUUUAUUUAUUUAUUUAUUUAUUUAUUUAUUUAUUUAUUGUGUUACAGAUAUACAAGGUGUCACAAUGCUGUAUAGAAACACAACUAAAUGUAUCCUUGUUGUCAUGAAUGUAUUUCUUGUUGAAUAGUGUAGAGUAAUAGAAUCUAACUGAGCCUAUUGAGCUGAACAAUUGUUGUCAUAUGUAAUUAUAUUUCCAGAGCUACUGAGAAUUAUUUUAAUAGACAAUCAAAUUGAUGUUAUGUUAGUUGAACUGUGAACCCAAACAUGAUUGGCUAUGCCAAUAGAGUGAAGCAUUUGUUUAAGUCUGUAAGACUUUAUGCUGUGAUGUGACGAGAAGGGUCGAUGCCAACUCGCUAACAGUCCUGUUGUUUACAGGCUGGGUUUUUUUUUUUUCCUUGGGUUUGAUCCCGACUCCUAUGAUCACUCACUUGGAACGAGAACUGGAUUUCUUCCUGACGAGGGAGAUGGCGAGCCUUAACCACUGAACGAACCAGGACAUCUCAAGUAACUGAAGAGCAGACUGCUCUCUUCUGUGAACAAUCUCAACGGUGCGGUAGGAAAAAAUCGCACCACCGGACUCUGACUUUCACCCCAAGCGUGGGGAUUUGACUUGACGCCGGCUGACUUGUGACUCAUAUGAUCAAAUCUCAUACCGAGCAUUUUACUAUUGUCGAUUGUUUUCAUCUGUUUUGUGUGUUAUCUUUAUGUGUUAUAUUUCCCAUUAUUAUUAAAAUUUAGUAUAUAAACCGUUUCAUGCUAUACCCGUGACUCCAGUCAUUCUUAAACAACCUCCAAUUCUCCCCGAACCUAAUUAUUGGCCCAUUUGUUUAUGUUUUCUUUUAAUUAUCUUAUUGUAUCCUGUAAUCCGGUUACAUGUCCUAUUGAUGGUAUUUUAAGGUGUGUUAAUUUAGAUUGGACUGAAUAGGAAAUCACUGAAGGCCCAGGGGUGGAACGCACCACCCGCAACUGAAUUUACCACAGCAAGCCUUCCAGUUCCUGAAGCAGCAAAACAACCCCAGACCAUCACACUACCACCACCAUAUUCUACUGUUGGUUUGAUGUUCUUUGAAAUACUGUGUUACUUUUAUGCCAGAUGGAACGGGACAUUUGCCUUCCAAAAAGUUCAACUUUUGUCUCAUCAGUCCGCAAGGCGUUUUCCCAAAAGUCUUGGCAAUCUUUGAUAUGUUUCGUAGCAAAACUAAGAUGAGCCCUAAUGUGGUUUAUGCUUAACAGUGGUUUGCGUCUUGGAAAUCUGCCAUGUAGGCUGUUUUUGCCCAGUCUCUUUCUUAUGGUGGAGUCGUGAACACUGACCUUAAUUGAGGCGAGUGAGGCCUGCAGUUCUUUAGAAGUUGUCCAGGGGUCUUUUGUGACCUCUCGGAUGAGUUGUCUCUGCGCUCCUGGGGUAAUUUUGGUCGGCCGCCCACUCCUGGGAAGGUUCACCACUGUUCCAUGUUGUUGCCAUUUGUGGAUAAUGGCUCUCACUGUGGUUCGCUGGAGUCCCAAAGCUUUAGAAAUGGCUUUAUAACCUUUACCAGACUGAUAGAUCUCAAUUACUUUUGUUCUCAUUUGUUCUUGAAUUUCUUUGGAUCUUGGCAUGAUGUCUCGCUUUUGAGGCGCUUUUGGUCUACUUCUUUGUGUCAGGCAGCUCAUAUUUAAGUGAUUUUUCACUGAAACAGGUGUGGCAGUAAUCAGGCAUGGGCAUGGCUACAGAAACUGCAUGCAGGUGUGAUACUCCACAGUUGGGUUAUUUUUUUAACAAGGGGGCAAUUACUUUUUUCCACACAGGGCAAUGUAGGUUUGGAUAUUUUUUUCCCUAAAUAAAAAACAUUUAAAAACUGCAUUUUGUGUUUACUUGUGUUAUCUUUGACUAAUGGUUAAAUUUGCUUGAUGAUCAGAAACAUUUUGUGAGAAAAACAUGCAAAACAAUAAAAAAUCAGGAAGGGUGCAAAUAGAUUUUCACACCACUGUAUCUCAUUACCUAAUUAUUAGGCUUUCCUAUGUCUUCACUAUAAUAAGUUAAGGCCAUUUACAAGUUAAAGCACAUCUCUCAUCAGAUUAAAUGCAUAUCAUUUUAUCAUAAAUUAAGUUAAAGCUGAUUAAGAUUUAGACCAAUUUUUCACCAAGUUUCAUUAUUUUAGAAAAGAAACAGACCUGAUGCACACAGCUGGGCAGAUAAGCGCAGUUUUAUUAAGUUCCAUACCCAGGUAAGGCACAUAUGUCUAUCCUAUGUACUGUGUGAGGGAUCAAGCCAAAUCAGUGGAGGAACACAGGCAAUUUACAAAAAUAGACUCUUUAAUUUCCUUUUUGUUUUAAAAUGUCCUCACAAAAACAGCUCGAGCUCAUAAAAGAGGUCAAACAAACAAACAAACAAACUGAAACUCAGUAAACUUCUAACUUAACAUACAGACUGACUGAAACCAUAACCGACCUAACAAACAAAGACACACAAGGGUAUAUAUACACGCUGGCUGAUCAGACCAUAUGAACAAUAGGGAUUACUAGACAAACAUUUACUAACUAAAACCAAAACCACAAAUCAGUAUAGUCAGAUUGUUAAUAAACCUAAACAUCCUAACCCAUAAACCUAACUAUUUAACUUCAAACUUAAAUUAAUUAACAAAUGACAAAAUAAUAAACUAAAGGAAAUUCUUCAGUCCCCUCUUCAGGGAGCGAUUGGUUUGGUCCCAUUAGCUCCUCCUGUAUUUAGCUGACAGAACCCCUUCAACCCUGUUUGCUUCGCACUCCUGCACAGUAGGUGGCGGUAAUGCACCUUAAGUUGGUUGCCACCCGCCAUUUAACCGGAAAUGAAGAAGAAGAAGAACCCUGUUUGCCUGUCCCAUCUCAAGAAGCAGGAAGUGGAGAACCUCAGCACCGAGUCACGACCAGACACUUUCCCAUGCACUCGACGCCACCCGGGGAUGACACCAUCUGAUGUCUUCCUGGCAGAUUAAGGCCUUCGACUCCAGCUUCAUAAACAAGUUCCUGAUCAAAGCUCUGUGUCACGGAUUAUCUCCUUCAGAAACAAUAUCAAACUGGCAUAGGUAAAGCUUCGAAAUGUCAAGGAAUCUUGGUCCUAACUGUUUUUUUAACAGAUUAACUCUUGCUGAAAAAAGAGCGAAGAAAAAAGAAAUAAUCAGCAGACAGGAAGGAAGUUAACUGGCUCACAGUGCCUCACAAUGAGAGGAUCGCAGGUUUGAAUCCCGGCCUUUCUGCAUGGAGUUGAUAUGUUUUCCAUGGGCAUGCAUGGGCUUUCUCAAUGUACUCCAAAACAUGCAUUUUGAGUUAUUUGUGACUUAAAUGAUUCUGUGUUGCAUGUUCUUCCUAAACAGUAAAAAGAACACAAAUGUCAUCCUUAUAAGUGGAUAUUUAAAACACAUUCUCACUCUGUCAGGAUGCGCUGGUGAGUGGAGCGGAGGUGAGGAUCCAAAUGCUGGGGAGGAAGCAGGCAGGCGGACAAACUGGACCACUUAAUUGGUUUUAAUGAUUCACACACGCAGGACACGGAAACAAUGAGGCAACAAGAGACACAGAACUGGAGGGGUUUAAAUACAGGGGGAGUUUCAGGAUCUAAUUGAUGAAUAGCUGCCAUAACUGGGAGCUGCGUCCUUCAAUUGAACUUUAAUUCAAAUGUGCAUCAAUCAUUUUCCCGCUUUUAUAACAUAAUGGAUACUCACAGCUCUGAUUAAAGUACGUUUUGUCCUUGUGAUUUGACUGUGUGUGUGUGUGUGUGUGUGUGUGUGUGUGUGUGUGUGUGUGUGUGUGUGUGUGUGUGUGUGUGUGUGUGUGUGUGUGUGUGUGUGUGUGUUGCAUGGCCCUGUCUGUCUCCAUUAUGAAGCAAACAGAGCCUCAGCUGUGCUGCUUCCACGCCCCAACACUCAAAUAUUGUAUUUUUUGAAUUUUUUUGUCCUUCAUACGAACCAGUCACUGCGACUUCAGCAAUCAGGGUAAAAACAAGCAAACAAAAAUAUGUCUGCGUAGUAACUGCUCAAACACCUGUGUGUGUGUGUGUGUGUGUGUGUGUGUGUGGUCCAAUAUCAUAUGUGAUCACGAAAUUAAAAAGGUUUCCGCACAUAAUGCCAUCAUUAAAGUGUACAGGAACAUCUUUGUCCAUUAUAGUGACUUUUAUUCACUUUUUUUCAAUUUUUUGUGAACAAUUGAGUUAAUAUUUCAAAUAUUUCAGAUAAGAUAAAAUACACAACAGUUGUAUUUUUUGCUGUAAGACCUUCAGAUGUGAGCAGUAACACCUACUUAUUUCACUAAUAUUCUAAUAAUUGGUAAAGGUAAGGCACAAGCUCCUAAAAUGAGUUUGCUUAUCAUCCACUUGCUUGCUAAUGAGCUAACUAAUGUAAUUCAUUACCGUGCCAUACAGGGAUUUGACUAAUGAGACUGACCCUUUGCAGGAUGUAAAACUCGAGUUUGACAAUAGCUGGGGGCUAUAGCAGGGUAGGAUACACCAACUCAGCUGUGCUUUCUACGGCUAUUAUAUUUUCAAUAAGUUUAAAAUACAUUUUUAUUGACCCCUUUAUGAGAAAAAAACAGGGCAACAACAGGGCAGUCCAUUGAAGAAAUCAAAGAAGUACCUCUAUCUGUUAUUGUCACAAAGAAAGUCUAAAUUGUACAACGUUGAUGCGAAAGCCGAUGCAAACCAGUCCCUUUCCUGAGAUGCCAUCUUUGUUGUUUUGCUCCAAUAAUGGUGUUAAAUUCACAGAUGUCAUAUAGGUAGAUGCCUCUUGGACUUGAGCUAUUGGAGCUGCCAAAUUUGCCCGUCGCUAUUUUGGAUGGGUCCCCAGUGAAUUUGUCUCUACUGAGGAAGGUGCUUAGUUAACUAAAAACACAUUUUAUUAUGCAUUUUAACAAAACCAAACAGAUGGUUUGGCACAAUGGUUACAAUAUAAAUAUAAUAUUUUUUUUAAGUAUUAAAUUCCACAAAUAGGCUAGAAAAGAUGCAGAGAAGUCCCACGUGAUUUAUUUUCAAUAGUGCACCGGUUGUUGCAACCAAAGGCUGUACAAAAAAAACCCGGCAUAGUUGCUAACUCUGCAUUGACUCCAAUUGGGUUUUUCUAAUCUAGUAAUAAACAGCAUGGCGGUAGGAUUAUGAAUUUUAGACCGUCAUUGGUGCAGAAUUCCAGGAUCGUUAAAUUAUUUAGUGGCACCUUGGGCGUUUAAUUUUUUUUGCUGUGACAUAAAAAUAAAUGAAAACAACUAAACAGAUUUUUGCAGAUUUUCCAACAUAUGACAAUAAAAUCAAGCCCAGAUGAUAAAACUGGUGUCAAAUUUUGUUCAAACUCUAAAUGUCUUGGUUGAUAAAAAGGAAAAAGCAGCCUUUUGGAAUUAACUGGCAUUUUCUGCCAAUAGGAAUAACUUGAUGAUGUGACUGUGGCCUAAACCACGACAUUCCAUUGAAUGAUUCUUGUAAACAGCUUCCAUUAUUUAUAUUAUAGUUAUUUUUUUCAUUUAGAACAAGUAUUGAAAUAUAAUUCACUUUUAUCUUCCAUUUUAGCCAG